rnacentral:lncRNA from 1 species
AUGAUACUGCGCUCCUUUGUAAGGUGUCCCCCAGAGCGAUGCUCCCCCCACCCCUUCCCUGGCCCUGCUGGCCCCACCCUCCCUGCAGCAUCUGGAGGUCCUGAGCAGGGCAGCCCUGGCCCUGGGGGCCGGGCUCCGCGCCCCCCCGGCAGCUGGCCAGAUGACAGCCCCAGUGAUAGAGCCAGGCCACCCGGCUUGCCAUGCCCAGGGCAUCUCUGGCCUCAAAGCCGCCUUUGUUCCUGGGGCCUCCUGCCGGAAGAGCCACUUUGCAGCUCCUCAGCCCAAGAAAGGGAGGCCUCUGAGAAGCACUGGCACCACCCCCCAGCCGGUGGUGGGAUCCAGGCCAGAAAGACAUGCACAGUGCUCCUCUCCACCCCACCAGUGGAAGGAGGGCCUCGGCGAGCAGGACUGGUCACCCAGGGAGGGGUGGGAGAGACGGUAGCCUCCCCCGAAGGGGCCGCAGGACCUCGAGUCCAGCUCAGUCCUUUUCCUGACCCUCCGGGCCCCAGACAGCUGCUCUGCCGCUCGGACAGCCUCUGCCCUCUCUCUCUCUCUCUCUCUCUCUCUCUCUCUCUCUCUCUCUCUCUCUCUCCCCCUGUGUGUGUGUGUGUGUGUGUGUCUCUCUCUCUCUCUCUCUCUCUCUCUCUCUCUCUCUCUCUCUCCAUCCCCCUCGGACAGCCUCCCCUUGCUGGGGGGUGUGUGUGUCCGUCCCCCUCUCCCCGCUUCUUGGUCAGGCUCUGGCGUCCCGGGCUGCUCCCUGCCUCAGACCAUCCUGAGUGCCUGGGGUGGGGCCAGCACCAGGGCAUGGAAAUACUGGACCAUCGUGCCGGGCAUCACCCUUCAUGCCCAGAGUAUCCCGAACAUUCCCUUACAGGCAGUUUGCACAUCUCCAGGGAUGGGGAGCUCAAAACUAGAAUGUGCUGGAAAGAUCCCUCCCUGGUCCUUGUUCUGCCCCCCCCCCCUUCAGCCCAAGGCUCUGGGAUUACUGCAGAUGUGCUCAUAUGGCCUCUCCCCAACUUCCCAAGGCCCCAGCUCCUAGACCAGGGCCUCCCACCCCACUGCACCCCACAACAAGCUCAGCUGCACGGGAGAGCGUAA